rnacentral:rRNA from 1 species
CAGUACAAAAGCAUUUUUGUUUAUUUAUGGUUUAGAAUAUAUACUAAUAAUCAUGGUCACUCACUUAAGCUAAGCAGGGCUGCGCCUGGUCAGUAUCUCGAUGGGAGACCACAUGGGAAAGCCAGGCUGCUGC